GACGAACGCUGGCGGCGUGCCUAAUACAUGCAAGUCGAACGCUUCUUUCCUCCCGAGUGCUUGCACUCAAUUGGAAGAGGGGUGGCGGACGGGUGAGUAAAACGGGGGUUACCCAACCCUUAGAGGGGGAUAAAACUUUGAAACCGGUGCUAAUUCCGCAUUACAGUUUAUUGCCCAUGGCAUUAGGGUUAAAGGCGCCUUCCGGUGUUGCCGAUGGAAGGACCCGCGGGGCAUUAGCUAGUUGGUGAGGUAACGGCUCACCAAGGCCACGAUGCAUAGCCGACCUGAGAGGGUGAUCGGCCACACUGGGACUGAGACACGGCCCAGACUCCUACGGGAGGCAGCAGUAGGGAAUCUUCGGCAAUGGACGAAAGUCUGACCGAGCAACGCCGCGUGAGUGAAGAAGGUUUUCGGAUCGUAAAACUCUGUUGUUAGAGAAGAACAAGGACGUUAGUAACUGAACGUCCCCUGACGGUAUCUAACCAGAAAGCCACGGCUAACUACGUG
rnacentral:rRNA from 1 species